rnacentral:lncRNA from 1 species
AGAAUCCAUUUUGUAACACUUCAAGAUUUAUGAUUUAUGAUUUCCAUGCUUGAAAUUAAAUGUAUUCAUGGUCAUGAUAGUAAUUGAGAUCCACUACAUGUUUAAUUAUAAGUUUCCAUGAAAUCAAGAUAGUUAUGUGGUGAAUUAUAUGAAUUGUAUACUUAACCGUUGAACUUGAAAUUGAAUUUGUAUUCAUGAUUGCAUGUGUUGACCAUUAUCAUGUGAAAUACUCCAUGCUCC